AACGAACGCUGGCGGCAUGCCUAACACAUGCAAGUCGAACGAGACCUUCGGGUCUAGUGGCGCACGGGUGCGUAACGCGUGGGAACCUGCCCUUAGGUUCGGAAUAACUCCCCGAAAGGGGUGCUAAUACCGGAUAAUGUCUUCGGACCAAAGAUUUAUCGCCUUUGGAUGGGCCCGCGUUGGAUUAGCUAGUUGGUAGGGUAAAAGCCUACCAAGGCGACGAUCCAUAGCUGGUCUGAGAGGAUGAUCAUCCACACUGGGACUGAGACACGGCCCAGACUCCUACGGGAGGCAGCAGUGGGGAAUAUUGGACAAUGGGCGAAAGCCUGAUACAGCAAUGCCGCGUGAGUGAUGAAGGCCUUAGGGUUGUAAAGCUCUUUUACCCGGGAUGAUAAUGACAGUACCGGGAGAAUAAGCACCGGCUAACUCCGUG
rnacentral:rRNA from 1 species